rnacentral:rRNA from 1 species
CCCAGACUCCUACGGGAGGCAGCAGUGAGGAAUAUUGGUCAAUGGGCUUACGCCUGAACCAGCCAAGUCGCGUGAGGGAAGACUGCCCUAUGGGUUGUAAACCUCUUUUGUCAGGGAGCAAUUGGCGCUACGUGUAGCGUUAUCGAGAGUACCUGAAGAAAAAGCAUCGGCUAACUCCGUGCCAGCAGCCGCGGUAAUACGGAGGAUGCGAGCGUUAUCCGGAUUUAUUGGGUUUAAAGGGUGCGUAGGCGGACGCUUAAGUCAGCGGUAAAAUUGCGGGGCUCAACCUCGUCGAGCCGUUGAAACUGGGCGCCUUGAGUGGGCGAGAAGUACGCGGAAUGCGUGGUGUAGCGGUGAAAUGCAUAGAUAUCACGAAGAACUCCGAUUGCGAAGGCAGCUUACCAGUCUGCGACUGACGCUCAGGCACGAAAGUGUGGGUAUCGAACAGGAUUAGAUACCCCUGUAC